rnacentral:rRNA from 1 species
GACGAACGCUGGCGGCGUGCUUAACACAUGCAAGUCGAACGGAAAGGCCCUGCUUUUGUGGGGUGCUCGAGUGGCGAACGGGUGAGUAACACGUGAGUAACCUGCCCUUGACUUUGGGAUAACUUCAGGAAACUGGGGCUAAUACCGGAUAGGAGCUCCUGCUGCAUGGUGGGGGUUGGAAAGUUUCGGUGGUUGGGGAUGGACGCGCGGCUUAUCAGCUUGUUGGUGGGGUAGUGGCUUACCAAUGCUUUGACGGGUAGCCGGACUGAGAGGGUGACCGGCCACAUUGGGACUGAGGUACGGGCCAGACUCCUACGGGGGGCAGCAGUGGGAAAUAGUGCACAAUGGGCGGAAGCCGGAUACAGCAACGCCGCGUGCGGGAGGACGGCCUUCGGGGUGGAAACCGCUUGCGCCUGUGACGAAGCGUGAGUGACGGUAAUGGGUAAAGAAGCACCGGCUAACUACGUG